rnacentral:rRNA from 1 species
AUGCAGUGCGGUUUAGAAGCUUCCGUCCAGUAUAUUUUUCAAAUGGAUAUUUUGCAUGUAUUCGAGACAUGGAGAAAAGAGCAAAUGCGGUCCGAUUGCAUUUUUCUCAUUUUUGUUUUGUUUCUAGGGGAGAAUGUGAGAAGAUGCACUGCGGUUCAGUCCCCUCUAGGAAGUACAUCGACAGCAAAGGUUCAUGGGGUGGGCGAGUCCCUUGCGCCGAACUCCCUGUGUCUCGUGAGCGUAGCUUCAAAAAAGUGCAAAGAAUAUUUUUUCCGACGAUGUAGUUUGUUGUGUAUGUUGGAGAGGUUCGCUCCUCCGCGCGGGUCAUUUUUCUGA